CCUACGGGUGGCAGCAGUGAGUAAUAUUGGUCAAUGGGCGGAAGCCUGAACCAGCCAAGUCGCGUGAAGGAAGACGGUCCUACGGAUUGUAAACCUCUUUUAUACGGGAGUAACGCGCCUUACGCGUGGUGCGUCGCAUGUACCUGAUGAAUAAGGACCGGCUAACUCCGUGCCAGCAGCCGCGGUAAUACGGAAGAUCCGGGCGUUAUCCGGAUUUAUUGGGUUUAAAGGGGGCGCAGGCGUAAUGUCAAACGUUGCGGGAAAAUUCCGGGUCCAACCCGGGCCGUGCCGCGGGAACUGGCCUUCUAGAGUGGGCGGGAAGCAUGCGGAAUGCGUGGUGUAGCGGUGAAAUGCUUAGAUAUGACGAAGAACCCCGAUUGCGAAGGCAGCAUACCGGAGCCCAACUGACGCUGAUGCUCGAAAGCGCGGGUAUCGAACAGGAGUAGAUACCCGGGUAGUC
rnacentral:rRNA from 1 species